ACAACGGAUCUCUUGGCUCUCGCAUCGAUGAAGAACGCAGCGAAAUGCGAUACGUAAUGUGAAUUGCAGAAUUCAGUGAAUCAUCGAAUCUUUGAACGCACCUUGCGCCCCUUGGCAUUCCGAGGGGCACACCCGUUUGAGUGUCGUGA
rnacentral:rRNA from 6 species